rnacentral:rRNA from 1 species
CUACGGGAGGCAGCAGUAAGGAAUAUUGCGCAAUGGAGGCAACUCUGACGCAGCCAUGCCGCGUGCAGGAAGAAGGCCUUAUGGGUCGUAAACUGCUUUUAUUUAGGAAUAAACCCCCGAACGUGUUCGGGGCUGAAGGUACUAAACGAAUAAGCACCGGCUAACUCCGCGCCAGCAGCCGCGGUAAUACGGAGGGUGCAAGCGUUAUCCGGAUUUAUUGGGUCUAAAGGGUGCGCAGGCGGGCUAUUAAGUCCGUGGUGAAAUCCCGGGGCUCAACUCCGGAACUGCCAUUGAUACUGAUAGUCUUGAGUUUGGUUGAAGUGGGCGGAAUGUAGCAUGUAGCGGUGAAAUGCAUAGAUAUGCUACAGAACACCAAUCGCGAAGGCAGCUCACUAAGCCAAAACUGACGCUCAUGCACGAAAGCGUGGGGAUCAAACAGGAUUAGAUACCCGAGUAGUC